UUUCCGUAGGUGAACCUGCGGAAGGAUCAUUAUUAUAUAACCGAGGUGAGAGGCCUGUCGCUGACCCGAAAGGUCGUGCCCGCAGGAGUGCCCUCAAACACAUCCAUCCCACCCCUAUGUGCACCACCGGGUGGGUCCCCCUUUGCGUGGUACGGAGGGGGGCGGACGUUUUAUCCCAAACUUUGUAUCAUGUGACGCCUGUAUUUUUUGUUUUUGCGAUCGUGCAAUCAAUACAACUUUAACCAAAGGAUCUCUUGGCUCUCGCACGGUUGAAGAACC
rnacentral:misc_RNA from 1 species